AAGUCGAACGAUGAAACUUUACUGACUUCUUCGGAAAGAUUUAAAGCGGAUUAGUGGCGGACGGGUGAGUAACACGUGAGUAACCUGCCUUACACAAGGGGAUAGCCGUUGGAAACGACGAAUAAUACCCUAUGAAACUAUCACUUCGCAUGAAGCGAUAGUCAAAGUGUUAGCGGUGUAAGAUGGACUUGCGUCUGAUUAGCUAGUUGGUGAGAAAAAAGCCCACCAAGGCAACGAUCAGUAGCCGGCUUGAGAGAGUGUACGGCCACAUUGGGACUGAGACACGGCCCAGACUCCUACGGGAGGCAGCAGUGGGGAAUUUUGCACAAUGGGGAAACCCUGAUGCAGCGACGCCGCGUGAUUUAGAAGGCCUUCGGGUUGUAAAAAUCUUUUGUAUAGGAAGAAAAUGACAGUACUAUACGAAUAAGGUCCGGCUAAUUACGUGCCAGCAGCCGCGGUAAUACGUAAGGACCGAGCGUUGUCCGGAAUCAUUGGGCGUAAAGGGUACGUAGGCGGGUCACUAAGUUAGAAGUCAAAGGCUAUAGCUCAACUAUAGUAAGCUUCUAAAACUGGAGACCUUGAGUAAUGGAAGGGAAAGUGGAAUUCCUAGUGUAGCGGUGGAAUGCGCAGAUAUUAGGAGGAAUACCGGUGGCGAAGGCGACUUUCUGG
rnacentral:rRNA from 2 species